rnacentral:lncRNA from 1 species
AACAUGGAAUUAACAGGACUCAUGGGUGUAUCCAUAAAAGCAACUGAAUUUUUAGUCUUCUGCUGUUAAUAAUCUGUUCCAUGAGGAUAGUUCUUCCUCUUCCACAGAAUGAAACUCAGGCAGUCCUAUAACUUUUUUAUUCUCUCAGGUAAUAGAAAAUCCUGUUACUUUAAGAGGAAAAACCCUGCUCUUAAUUCAGUAAUUCAAAUCUUGUCCCCUUCCCCAACAGGGUCUCCUAUGGACAGAAGUGCGGGCAAGGAGCUUUGUUCCUCCCCGAUGUCACCCUCCCACAGCCCACUUGCUAGCAGGCAAGAGAGGGGUGGAGGCCGGCAGUAAGGCAUGUACUGAACUGGACCUCUGGUGGAAUGGGUCACCCACGCUGGGCUUGACUCUUACCAUCAGGGUCCUGCCAACCCUUCAGUGAGACUUUUUCCGAAGAAUCCCUUUUAAAAUGACCUCAAGCUGACCUUCCUGAUGCAGAUUCCACAUAUGGUAUCUGAGACUCACACAGUGUGGUUGGAAGAUAGCACAGUGACCUCCCAGGCACAGCCCUCUGCCAGCCCUCCACUGGCUGCCCUAGGAUGCUGGCCUUCCUCCGAUGGGAGUCGGGCCCAGUCUGCUGUGAGCCAGGAGAAGCCAGCAAGCUCCCUGCGAGGCCUGGAGGAGCCCUUCUCACUCAGCUUGGUGUUCGAUGCCAGUGCCCCCGCCCAUUGUGGGGUGAGGGUGGGACUCUCAGCACAGCCCUGUCCAAAUAAAUCCUCUAAAGCCCUCUUC